rnacentral:rRNA from 1 species
GAUGAACGCUGGCGGCGUGCCUAAUACAUGCAAGUCGAGCGAACAGACGAGGAGCUUGCUCCUAUGACGUUAGCGGCGGACGGGUGAGUAACACGUGGAUAACCUACCUAUAAGACUGGGAUAACUUCGGGAAACCGGAGCUAAUACCGGAUAAUAUAUUGAACCGCAUGGUUCAAUAGUGAAAGACGGUUUUGCUGUCACUUAUAGAUGGAUCCGCGCCGCAUUAGCUAGUUGGUAAGGUAACGGCUUACCAAGGCAACGAUGCGUAGCCGACCUGAGCGGGUGAUCGGCCACACUGGAACUGAGACACGGUCCAGACUCCUACGGGAGGCAGCAGUAGGGAAUCUUCCGCGAAGGGCGAAAGCCUGACGGAGCAACGCCGCGUGAGUGAUGAAGGUCUUCGGAUCGUAAAGCUCUGUUAUUAGGGAAGAACAAAUGUGUAAGUAACUAUGCACGUCUUGACGGUACCUGAUCAGAAAGCCACGGCUAACUACGUG